UGAGUAACCUGCCCUUAACUCUGGGAUAAGCCUGGGAAACUGGGUCUAAUACCGGAUAUGACUCCUCAUCGCAUGGUGGGGGGUGGAAAGCUUUAUUGUGGUUUGGAUGGACUCGCGGCCUAUCAGCUUGUUGGUGAGGUAAUGGCUCACCAAGGCGACGACGGGUAGCCGGCCUGAGAGGGCACUGGCCACACUGGGACUGAGACACGGCCCAGACUCCGUACGGGGAGCAG
rnacentral:rRNA from 1 species